CUACGGGCCGCACCAGUGGGGAAUAUUGGACAAUGGGCGAAAGCCUGAUCCAGCAAUGCCGCGUGAGUGAUGAAGGCCUUAGGGUUGUAAAGCUCUUUUACCCGGGAUGAUAAUGACAGUACCGGGAGAAUAAGCUCCGGCUAACUCCGUGCCAGCAGCCGCGGUAAUACGGAGGGAGCUAGCGUUGUUCGGAAUUACUGGGCGUAAAGCGCGCGUAGGCGGCUUUGUAAGUUAGAGGUGAAAGCCUGGAGCUCAACUCCAGAAUUGCCUUUAAGACUGCAUCGCUCGAAUCCAGGAGAGGUCAGUGGAAUUCCGAGUGUAGAGGUGAAAUUCGUAGAUAUUCGGAAGAACACCAGUGGCGAAGGCGGCUGACUGGACUGGUAUUGACGCUGAGGUGCGAAAGCGUGGGGAGCAAACAGGAUUAGAUACCCCGGUAGUC
rnacentral:rRNA from 1 species